CCACACCCCCGCCCCCUGCCCUUCCCGAGGGCAGCAGCCGCGGCCCGGAGAUAAGCGCUGGCGCGGCUCGCGCGGGGCUCGGCCGGGGCUAGUGGCACCGACUCGGGAAGAGAAACCGAAGAGACCGAAAAUCGAAAAUCCACAUUCCUGCUAGGAAUGAUCUCAGAUCUGCCGAGCAAAGGAACCCCAAUACUCCCGCCUUGGAGGGCCUACACAUUUGAAAUGCAGUAACUUCUCUCAUUUCCCCCAAAGAAAGGCUGCCACUCGCAAGGAGAGUGUAACCCCUCGCAAAGAAGGCCGGCCAAAAAGCCAAAGCCCAGCGCAGUGAAGAACGUAGGCUCAGCGCUUACCUCAAAAGAUGUUUUAACACUGAACCAGAGAUGGUCUUCAACUCCCGGCGCUCAGGGAAUCGCCUUUUCCGGCAUCCGUGUGCUCUGCGGACAAAUAAACAGCAGAGGGUGAAUGGUAACUGAGAAGGAAUGGAGUUGCAGGACCGGCGUUGGAAGUAGGGCCAGCACCGGCGCCACGGUGGCCCCCGGGGUGACACGGACACGGAGGAGUCGCCAGAGCACUCGUCCAUGCGUCUCACUCAUUGCUUGAAAGAUCCCAGCUACAAAUGGCCUGAAGAUGGUGAUUUAUUUUUGUAAAACAAAUACAUACUCCAUCUUGACACCCA